GAGGAAGAGAACCAGGCCCCACUGAGAGGAUCACCUCACCUGGAAUCUGGUGCCAUGUGCAGGCUGCUGCUGGAGUGGGGCAGCCACACUGAAGCCUCUCUCUCCUAUUCUACUCUGUUCGAUUUUUGCUACAUCUGAAACUAUCUGCAGCUAUUUUGAAGACAACAAAAGGCUUAAUGGUGACUAUUGUUGAUUUCACAAGGUUUUGAAGUUCUGUAUCACUUAUACUAAUUUAUUUUUAUUCAUUUUAUCCUGUUUAAAAUUUUAAAAAUCAAAAUAAAAAGCCUCUAUUUUAAUA